rnacentral:rRNA from 1 species
UUCCGGUUGAUCCUGCCGGACCUGACUGCUAUCGGAUUGAUACUAAGCCAUGCGAGUCAUUGUAGCAAUACAAGGCAGACGGCUCAGUAACGCGUAGUCAACCUAACCUAUGGAUGGGAAUAACCUCGGGAAACUGAGAAUAAUGCCCGAUAGAACACUAUGCCUGGAAUGGUUUGUGUUCCAAAUGAUUUAUCGCCGUAGGAUGGGACUGCGGCCUAUCAGUUUGUUGGUGAGGUAAUGGCCCACCAAGACUAUUACAGGUACGGGCUCUGAGAGGAGUAGCCCGGAGAUGGGUACUGAGACACGGACCCAGGCCCUAUGGGGCGCAGCAGGCGAGAAAACUUUGCAAUGUGCGAAAGCACGACAAGGUUAAUCCGGGUGGUUUGUGCUAAACAGACCUUUUGUUAGUCCUAGAAACACUAACGAAUAAGGGGUGGGCAAGUUCUGGUGUCAGCCGCCGCGGUAAAACCAGCACCUCAAGUGGUCAGGAUGAUUAUUGGGCCUAAAGCAUCCGUAGCCGGCUCUGUAAGUUUUCGGUUAAAUCUGUAUGCUCAACAUACAGGCUGCCGGGAAUACUGCAGAGCUAGGGA